UACGGAGGGAGCUAGCGUUGUUCGGAAUUACUGGGCGUAAAGCGCGCGUAGGCGGCUUUGUAAGUUAGAGGUGAAAGCCCGGGGCUCAACCCCGGAAUUGCCUUUAAGACUGCAUCGCUAGAAUCCAGGAGAGGUGAGUGGAAUUCCGAGUGUAGAGGUGAAAUUCGUAGAUAUUCGGAAGAACACCAGUGGCGAAGGCG
rnacentral:rRNA from 1 species